rnacentral:lncRNA from 1 species
CAAAUUCCAACAACUUCCUCUUGAUAUUUUCUUUACUUUCUUUAAUGAUUCUCUAACACAAGAAUAUUUUAAACUCCGAAAAAAAAAUCAAAAAAUCCCCCCCUCUACAAAUGAACAAAGAUAUAAUUAUAUAGGGGAAGUUUAGGGUAGAUUUUUGGGGGGAAUUCGGGUGAAAUUUUUACCAUUCAAAAUUCAAAAUCCAAAAAUUCUUUCACCAAAUCGGAACGACACACUUUUCCUCUGAGAUUUCAACCCAUUCCGUAAGAGGAAAGGGCAGAAACGCAUGCUUGCUCUUCUCUGCUCGGGUUGUACGACGGAGAGGGAGGUGAGGAGGACGGACACACGCGAAGUUACUGGAUCGAUUUGAUGGGCUGUCGGGUCGCGGUGGGUUGUUGUUGUUCCUUUUUGGGCUGCUGGCCGUUUCUGUGAAGAAGAAGAAUAGUGCAAAUGGGGGGUCGAUUUGGUGUAUGUUGU